GAUGAACGCUGGCGGCGUGCCUAAUACAUGCAAGUCGAGCGAACAGACGAGGAGCUUGCUCCUCUGACGUUAGCGGCGGACGGGUGAGUAACACGUGGAUAACCUACCUAUAAGACUGGGAUAACUUCGGGAAACCGGAGCUAAUACCGGAUAAUAUAUUGAACCGCAUGGUUCAAUAGUGAAAGACGGUUUUGCUGUCACUUAUAGAUGGAUCCGCGCCGCAUUAGCUAGUUGGUAAGGUAACGGCUUACCAAGGCAACGAUGCGUAGCCGACCUGAGAGGGUGAUCGGCCACACUGGAAAUGAGACACGGUCCGGAAUCCUACGGGAGGCAGAAGUAGGGAAUCUUCCGCAAUGGGCGAAAGCCUGACGGAGCAACGACGCGUGAGUGAUGAAGGUCUUCGGAUCGUAAAACUCUGUUAUUAGGGAAGAACAAAUGUGUAAGUAACUAUGCAAGUCUUGACGGUACCUAAUCAGAAAGCCACGGCUAACUACGUG
rnacentral:rRNA from 1 species